CAGUCGCCACGGUAAUACGAAGGGGGCUAGCGUUGUUCGGAAUCACUGGGCGUAAAGCGCACGUAGGCGGACUUUUAAGUCAGAGGUGAAAUCCCAAGGCUCAACCUUGGAACUGCCUUUGAUACUGGGAGUCUUGAGUUUGGGAGAGGUGAGUGGAACUGCGAGUGUAGAGGUGAAAUUCGUAGAUAUUCGCAAGAACACCAGUGGCGAAGGCGGCUCACUGGCCCGAUACUGACGCUGAGGUGCGAAAGCGUGGGGAGCAAACAGGAUUAGAUACCCCUGUAGUCCCUGUCUCUUAUAC
rnacentral:rRNA from 1 species